GAAAAAUAAAGUCAAUCAUGUUCUCUUAUACGCAGACACAACAGAACACCAGCCUCUACGUGGUGCGAAGCCUACUGCAACAAAAACGUGAUCUUCAUGUCUUUGCGACUGAGCACACUCUACCAGCAACACUGACAGCUCACCAGUGGGAGCUCAUAGAUAAGACUGCUGGUGUGCUGUCAUCCAUUGAAGAGCUGACCAGAAACGUGAACAGAAAAACUGCAACUGCACCUGAUGGGAUCCCUGCCAUAACAGAUGUGUUCUGUCCAGUGAAGGCAGUGGAGAAGCCCUACACUGAUGUUGAAACUGUGCCACUCUUCUAGAAACCAGCUACAAGGAUGGGCAGCUGUUUUCGCAAAGUCAGCCAACCUCUUGCUUCCAAAUGACCCUUAUCCAGAAGUAUCCGUGAGUGCCUCAUCAGCAGAAACUAAAGUGGAGACCUACCUCUCAGAGAAAAACGCACACAUAAGAAAAGCGACCCACUUCAGUACUGGAAAGAACAUCCUAAUCUGUCUCCCUCUAUGGCUGCUGUUGCGAUCCCAGUGUGCCCCCUGUAGCUCUGUGGACAGUUUUUGAUUUGAUUACAUCUCACCCCAACCGGUCGCGGCAGAUGGCUGCCCCUCCCUGAGCCUGGUUCUGCCAGAAGUUUCUUCAUGUCAAAAAGCUGACCAGAAACGUGAACAGAAAGACUGCAACUGCACCUGAUGGGAUCCCUGCCAUAACAGAUGUGUUCUGUCCAGUGAAGGCAGUGGAGAAGCCCUACACUGAUGUUGAAACUGUGCCACUCUUCUAGAAACCAGCUACAAGGAUGGGCAGCUGUUUUUGCAAAGUCAGCCAACCUCUUGCUUCCAAAUGACCCUUAUCCAGAAGUAUCCGUGAAUGCCUCAUGAGAAGAAACUAAAGUGGAGACCUACCUCUGAGAGAAGAACGCACACAUAAGAAAAGCGACCCACUUCAGUACUGGAAAGAACAUCCUAAUCUGUCUCCCUCUAUGGCUGCUGUUGCGAUCCCAGUGUGCCCCCUGUAGCUCUGUGGACAGUUUUUGA